CCUACGGGAGGCAGCAGUGGGGGAUAUUGCACAAUGGGGGGAACCCUGAUGCAGCGACGCCGCGUGGGUGAAGAAGCGCCUCGGCGCGUAAAGCCCUGUCAGCAGGGAAGAAAAUGACGGUACCUGAAGAAGAAGCCCCGGCUAACUACGUGCCAGCAGCCGCGGUAAUACGUAGGGGGCAAGCGUUAUCCGGAUUUACUGGGUGUAAAGGGGGCGCAGACGGCGAUGCAAGCCAGGAGUGAAAGCCCGGGGCCCAACCCCGGGACUGCUCUUGGAACUGCGUGGCUGGAGUGCAGGAGGGGCAGGCGGAAUUCCUGGUGUAGCGGUGAAAUGCGUAGAUAUUAGAAGGAACACCAAUAGCGUAGGCAGGUUGCUGGGACGGUUCUGACACUAAGGCACGAAAGCGUAGGGAGCAAACGGGAUUAGAUACCCCUGUAGUC
rnacentral:rRNA from 1 species